rnacentral:rRNA from 1 species
CCUACGGGUGGCAGCAGUGAGGAAUAUUGGUCAAUGGACGAGAGUCUGAACCAGCCAAGUAGCGUGAAGGAUGACUGCCCUAUGGGUUGUAAGCUUCUUUUAUAAAGGAAUAAAACAAGGCACGUGUGCCUUUUUGCAUGUACUUUAUGAAUAAGGAUCGGCUAACUCCGUGCCAGCAGCCGCGGUAAUACGGAGGAGCCGAGCGUUAUCCGGAUUGAUUGGGUUUAAAGGGAGCGUAGAUGGGUUGUUAAGUCAGUUGUGAAAGUUUGCGGCUCAACCGUAGAAUUGCAAUCGAUACUGGCAGUCUUGAGUACAGUUGAGGUAGGCGGAAUUCGGGGUGUAGCGGUGAAAUGCUUAGAGAUCACGAAGAAUACCGAUUGCGAAGGCAGCCUACUAAACUGUGACUGACAUUGAUGCGCGAAAGUGUGGGGAGCAAACAGGAUUAGAUACCCCAGUAGUC